rnacentral:lncRNA from 10 species
CCAGGCUGGUCUCAACUUCCUGACUUCAAGCGGUCCUCUUGCCUCAGCCACCCAAAGUGCUGGGAUUAUAGGGGUGAGUCACCAUGCCCAACCUGGUAAAUUUGACUCAUAAUGAAGUUUGCGUUUGAAUAAGACAAAGUAUUCAGGAAUUUAUAUUUGGAGAGGGCAAGAUGGAUGGUUAGAAUAUCUACUUGGGUCCAGAAAAACAACUUAAGACCAGAGGCCACCCACCCAAGAGACAAGCGGGGAGCCAGGAGAGACGAACGCCAUGUGAGGUGCUUGCAACGUUGUGGGAGGAUUUUGAGCCUAGAUGAACAAUUCUUACGAUAUUUCUUCUAGCAGUCAUUUUUUUCCUUCAAUUUUGAAGACUGUUUUCAUUGCAAAUUGUAUCAUCCAGAAAUGGCUGCAACACUCUCUCCCAUCCCGUUUUUGACCCUGAUGGAAGUGAUGCUAGGUGUCUUCCAAGGCUGGGAUAUGAAGGGUCAUAUGCCUUUCACCUGGUUCUACUGGGAUGCCAGCUUUUGGAACCACCAUGCUUUGAGGAAGCCCAGGCAGCCUGCAGAGAGGCCCACUUGAGGAAGAAUCACAGCCCUUUGCUGGCAGCCCAGGCUAACAGCCAGCGUCAACCUGCUAGCCACGUGAGUAAGCCAUCCUGAAAGGAGAAAGGUCCACACCCCAGUGGAGCUGAUGCCACAUGAAGUAGAGAAGAGCUGUCCUCACCAGCCAGUGUCCAAAUUGCGGAUUCAAGAGCAAAUGAAUGAGCCUUCUUGCUUUAAGCCAUGAUAUUUUGGGCUGGGUUUUUACACGGUAAGACAACUGAUACAGUUCCCUAUUUAUGUAAACACUAAACACGCUCUUUGGUGUUUGUGUUGAGUAAACUGCUUUUAUUUAGAACUGCCUCUCCUUUUCACAAGCAGCUGUCCCAACAAUUGUUCUACCCUAGAUUCUGCAAUGAGGGCUGGAACCACUGAGGAAGGUGAGAAGUGACAGACAAGUGAACUAUUGUUUUUGAGUCCUCCUUGUUCGAUGACUAUGAGGAGGGAAGGAGGAUAGUUUCCUCUUCUCCUACACUUGAAGCUCCUGUCAGCCCCCUUUCUCACAUGUCCUCCAAAGGCCUCUGGGAUGUGCAGGAAGGGGCAACCAUCCUUUCUGGGUCCAAAGCUCAGCCAUACGCCAAGAGGAAAAGAUUUGAUCAGACUCACUCCUCACUGUAAGCUGAUACAGUAUAUCUCUCUUUAGCUGAUCUGAAACCCAGUUGAGACAUGUCUAAUGAUGAUGAUGAUGACGAACUUUUCCCUUUGUAUCUUAAUUUUCUUCCCCUUCCUCUCUGCCUUCAUCCCUUGUUCCACUCUGUUUCCAGUAGAAUUAUCCAGAAGAAAUUUGUUCUCCUCUUUAGAUAGAUCCUUCGAAC